UUCCACAGCUACUGGUCUGCAGCUGUUCUUAAAGGUAGCAGCUGUGGCAUUCCACUGUGGGAAAGAAACUGUCACACAACUCAACACCUCUUUCUCAGCACAACAGAAAGUGGGCAUGUGUGUGACAAACACAA
ensembl:snoRNA